CAAUAGCGUAUAUUAAAGUUGUUGCAGUUAGAACGCUCGUAGUCGGAUUUCGGGGCGGGCCUGCCGGUCUGCCGUUGGGUAUGCACUGGUGGGCGCGUCCUUCCUUCCGGAGACCGUGGCUACUCUUAACUGAGCGGUUGCGGGAGACGGAUCGUUUACUUUGAAAAAUCAGAGUGUUUCUAGCAAGGCAGCUCGCUCUUGCAUAGGUUAGCAUGGGAUAAUUUAAUAGGACUCUGGUGCUAUUUUGUUGGUUUCGAACACCGGAGUAAUGAUUAAAAGGGGCAGUCAGGGGCACUCGUAUUCCGUCGAGAGAGGUGAAAUUCUCAGACCAAUGGAAGACGAACCACUGCGAAAGCAUUUGCCAGGGAUGUUUUCACUGAUCAAGAACGAAAGUUAGGGGAUCGAAGACGAUCAGAU
rnacentral:rRNA from 1 species